rnacentral:rRNA from 1 species
CGCGUAGGCUGUUUUACAAGUCAGAUGUGAAAUCCCCGAGCUUAACUUGGGAAUUGCAUCUGAAACUGUUGAACUUGAGUCCUGGAGGGGGUAGCGGAAUUCCCAGUGUAGCGGUGAAAUGCGUAGAUAUUGGGAGGAACACCUGCGGCGAAGGCGGCUACCUGGACAGUGACUGACGCUGAGGCGCGAAAGCUAGGGGAGCGAACA